GACAUAGGUCGCAAACGUUAUCCGGAAUUAUUGGGCGUAAAGGAUGCGUAGAUGGUUCAAUAAGUUACUGGUGGGAAAUCGAGGCUCAACCUCGUGGAAGUCAGUAAUACUGUUGAACUUGAGUGCAGGAGAGGUUAACGGAACUUUAUGUGGAGCGGUAAAAUGCGUAGAUAUAUGAAAGAACAUCAAUAUGGCGAAGGCAGUUAACUAUUCUGUUACUGACGUUUGAGGCAUGAAAGCGUGGGGAGCAAAACGG
rnacentral:rRNA from 1 species